UACAGAGGGUGCAAGCGUUGUUCGGAAUUAUUGGGCGUAAAGGGCGUGUAGGCGGUCUGCUAAGUCAUGUGUGAAAUCCCUCGGCUUAACCGAGGAACGACGCAUGAAACUGGCAAGCUAGAGUACCAAAGAGGGGGGUGGAGUUCCCGGUGUAGCGGUGAAAUGCGUAGAUAUCGGGAGGAACACCAGUGGCGAAGGCGACUACCUGGCCUGUUCUUGACGCUGAGGCGCGAAAGCUAGGGGAGCAAACCGG
rnacentral:rRNA from 1 species